AGCUGAGACACAUCAUUAUAAUAGCUGUGAGUAUGCUUUGUUCCUCUGUUAAAGAGCUGAAUGGAGCCCGGACACUUUGCACCUGCAGGCCCUGGAUUCCAUUCAUUCCACCGGUCUGGGACAAAUUGAAUCUUGGAGAAGAAAUACCAAAGCAGCUAAGAGGUGCCUUAAACUGCUGCUUCGUGCAGACCCCCGAGAAACCCAGAGAAUCGUCAUUCAGACUUGAGAGAACAAAACCACUAUCUCCACUCUCUCAAGAGGUGCAUUAAACUGCUGCUUCGUGCAGACCCCCGAGAAACCCA